AGGGUUCGAUUCUGGCUCAGGAUGAACGCUGGCGGCGUGCCUAACACAUGCAAGUCGAGCGAUUCUCUUCGGAGAAGAGCGGCGGACGGGUGAGUAACGCGUGGGUAACCUGCCCUGUACACACGGAUAACAUACCGAAAGGUAUGCUAAUACGGGAUAAUAUGUUUUUGAUCGCAUGGUCGAAAUAUCAAAGCUCCGGCGGUACAGGAUGGACCCGCGUCUGAUUAGCUAGUUGGUGAGGUAAUGGCUCACCAAGGCGACGAUCAGUAGCCGACCUGAGAGGGUGAUCGGCCACAUUGGAACUGAGACACGGUCCAAACUCCUACGGGAGGCAGCAGUGGGGAAUAUUGCACAAUGGGCGAAAGCCUGAUGCCAGCAACGCCGCGUGAGCGAUGAAGGCCUUCGGGUCGUAAAGCUCUGUCCUCAAGGAAGAUAAUGACGGUACUUGAGGAGGAAGCCCCGGCUAACUACGUGCCAGCCGCCGC
rnacentral:rRNA from 1 species